rnacentral:rRNA from 1 species
UUUCAUUAGUGUAAAGAGCUUUAGAAAUAAGAGCUGGGCAAGACCGGUGCCAGCCGCCGCGGUAACACCGGCAGCUCUAGUGGUAACAAUUUUUAUUGGGCCUAAAGCGUCCGUAGCCGGUUUAAUAAGUCUCUGGUGAAAUCCUGUAGCUUAACUGUGGGAAUUGCUGGAGAUACUAUUAGACUUGAGAUCGGGAGAGGUUAGAGGUACUCCCAGGGUAGAGGUGAAAUUCUGUAAUCCUGGGAGGACCGCCUGUUGCGAAGGCGUCUAGCUGGAACGAUUCUGACGGUGAGGGACGAAAGUUAGGGGCGCGAACCGGAUUAGAUACCCGGGUAGUCCUAACUGUAAACGAUGCGGACUUGGUGUUGGGGUGGCUUUGAGCUGCUCCAGUGCCGAAGGGAAGCUGUUAAGUCCGCCGCCUGGGAAGUACGGUCGCAAGACUGAAACUUAA